CAGAUUGGACAUUGUAUGUCUGAGUUAGAGCAUUUUCCUUUUUCAUGGCGAAACAUCGAAAUUUGUCAGGCCGCCAUGGACACGCCGUUUAACGAAACCUCAAGAUCUUCGCAAUUUAAUAUCGCAAAGGGCUUUAGAUUACACUGACCAAUUUUGGUGUUGAUGUGAAUAAAUCUCUAGGAGGAGUUCGUUAAAGUACAACCCCUGAAAAUGGCAAAAACAACACCAAUUUUGCAGGGAAAAUUCAAAAUAACUGACUUCCUGUUGGGAUUCGGAUUUCGUACCAAGAGACUUUUUUGUAGGUAUUGGUGUGUUACAUGUGUGUACCGAUUUUCGUACAUGUACGUGAAACAUAGCUCGAGGCGCACUCCGUUGAAUCUGUAUAGGUGGCGCUAUCGAGCCAUUUUUCCACACCCGAUGGAAUAUUGGCCUUCAGAUGUGUUCAGGCCAGGAAUCUUAUCAAACAUGUGAAGUUUGGGGAAGAUCGGACAUUUUAUGCCUGA
ensembl:lncRNA